CCUACGGGCGGCAGCAGUGGGGGAUAUUGCACAAUGGGGGAAACCCUGAUGCAGCGACGCCGCGUGAGUGAAGAAGUAUUUCGGUAUGUAAAGCUCUAUCAGCAGGGAAGAAAAUGACAGUACCUGACCAAGAAGCCCCGGCUAACUACGUACCAGCAGCCGCGGGAAUACGUAGGGGGCAAGGGUUAUCCGGAUUUACUGGGUUUAAAGGGUGCGCAGGCGGGCCUUUAAGCCGGCGGUGAAAUCGCGGGGCUCAACCCCGCCGAGCCGUGGGAACUGGGGGCCUUGAGUGCGGCGGAGGCAUGCGGAAGGCGCGGUGUAGCGGUGAAAUGCAUAGAUAGCGCGCAGAACCCCGAUUGCGAAGGCAGCGUGCCGUGCCGCCACUGACGCUGAGGCACGAAAGCGCGGGGAUCGAACAGGAUUAGAUACCCCUGUAGUC
rnacentral:rRNA from 1 species